rnacentral:rRNA from 1 species
CAGUAGCCGCGGUAAUACGUAGGUGGCAAGCGUUGUCCGGAAUUAUUGGGCGUAAAGGGCUCGCAGGCGGUUUCUUAAGUCUGAUGUGAAAGCCCCCGGCUCAACCGGGGAGGGUCAUUGGAAACUGGGAAACUUGAGUGCAGAAGAGGAGAGUGGAAUUCCACGUGUAGCGGUGAAAUGCGUAGAGAUGUGGAGGAACACCAGUGGCGAAGGCGACUCUCUGGUCUGUAACUGACGCUGAGGAGCGAAAGCGUGGGGAGCGAACGGGAUUAGAUACCCCUGUAGUCCCUGUCUCUUAUAA